GUGAAAGAGCUCAAUGUUGAGUGAAUGUGGGGACAGAACCACUUUCUCAGCAGAAUGGAAAUCCACACAACAGCUCUGGAGGACUGAAGGUCAGUGGGCAUCAUUCCAUCCCAUGACCAAGCCAACUGCCUCUUUAAAACAGCCAAUGUCGACAAGCUACCAGCCCAUGGAUGUUCCCUCUGUAACCUGCAGGAGCACCAGAGCCACUGCACCUCAUUUUAUAAUCCUCAGCAAAGACCAGCAACUUUGACAGAACCUGCGUCCCCCUGGCUCCUGCACACCAUACGGUCCUGCCUAUACCGGGUGAUUCCAGAGGUGGUUUUCCAGUUCUUGAGAUUCAGCACAAAAUUCUGUGUCCACUAACACUUUCAGAGAUAGCACACAUCUCUUAACCCGAAGCUGAUCUGGAUGUGGGUUAUAUUGUAAUUUAAC